rfam:Paenibacillus popilliae ATCC 14706 DNA, contig: contig020.
UGAAAAUGAAUAAUCGUACCAUAGACAGUAGGUGCCAUUUGGCUUAAUCUCCUACCGAGGUGUUCGAAAUAGAAGAUGCGGUGGCGCAUGGGAACAUGCAUGAACAGGCGUCACCGCAUUCGCGAUGCCUCUGUAGAUUGCUGCGGAGGCUUUUCUUAUGCUCGU